UUUAAGCACUGUGUGAGGUAGCUGUCAGACACCAGCAAGCACCCAGCAGACCUCCACCACAAGGAGCAUAACUGAGGAAGAGCCCCAGCUGCCUCGCUCUGCAAUCUACUACCCUCUUUGCACUAGGGCCUGGUCUCCCACGGACAACUCCCAGUGGAGGAAGCUUUUGAAUGUGAAUGCAGAGUUGAACGAACACAAACAAACAGAAAGCUCCCAGCACUUUUACUUCUUUUGGCAGAUUACAUUUUUUGUUCCAGAGAAGUAAAGGGAAGAAAUGAAGACCAGCAGGUUGCAUACAACACAGAAAAGAUCUGAUGAAAAUUCUACUAUGGCCUGUUUAUUUAGAAACAGAUUGGCCGGAUAAUGCUAAUACUAAUCACUGUCGUGGCUAAAAUUUAUUAAACACUCUCUCUGCUAUGCAUUUCAACAUACACCCCUAAGAGGUUGGUACUAAAUUUUCCAUUUUAAAGAUACGGAAAAAGAUACAUGAUAAGUUUAAGUAACCUGUUCAGCUAGUAAGUGGCAGAGCUAGGUUACAAACCCAGGUGAUCUUAUUCCAGAUCAGAAGAUCUGGACCAAAAGAAUUGGAAACAAGUCUGUCCUUCGUCUACUGUAACUCUUAUUGAAUAUCAUAUGGGGAUGAUAAGUUAAUAAACAAGUAGGCAAAAUUAUACUUAUGUUGUGAACUGUGUGGACUUAAGGAUUCGGUAGACUGGACUGUCACUUAUAUGAUUAGAAAUUUGGGUGGGACAAUUAAGUUUACUCCCUUGAGACUAAGGAUCUUCCAUUAUAAAACAGAAUGGACUAGAUUAUGUAAUCUCUAAAGUACUUUGUCACUAGUUCAAAAAUACUCCAAAGGACUCUGGAGGCCAAGGUGGGAGGAUUACUUGAGGCCAGGAGAUGGAAACCGUGUCUCUAAAAACGUUAGCUGGGCAUGGUGGCUCGUGCAUGUAGUCCUACAUUAUGUAAACUCCAAAGUUCUUUCUUGCUAGCUCAAAAGUAUUUCAAAGGACUCAGGAGGCUGAGGCAGAAGGAUUGCCUGAGCCCAGGGUUCAAGGCUUCAGUGAGCUGUGAUUGUGCCACUGCGCUCCAGCCUAGGCAUCAGAGCAAGGCCCUAUCUCUGGAAAAAAACAAAAAACAAACGAACAAAACACGCCAGAGCAAAAUGUCUUAGUGUUCAAUCAUUCUUUACACUUGUUUUAUUUAUUUUUAAUUUUUAUUUUUUGUGGGUACAUAGUAAGUGUUUAUGUUUAUGGGGUAUAUGGGAUAUUUCAAUAAAGGCAUACAGUGUGUAAUAAUCACAUCAGGGUAAAUGGAGUAUCCAUCACCUCAAGCAUUUAUCCUUUGUGUUACAAACAAUCCAGUCAUACUCUUGUAGUUAUUUUUAAACGUACAAUUACAUUAUUCUUUAUGCCUGUUUAAGAUGCAUUCUGAAUGCGUAGAACUAAAGUCAUUCUUUGAUACAGCAGUGUGAAAUAGGAACUAUAAAGAGUCGCUCUUAUAGAUGGAAUGUGCUUCUGUGUUCUCUGUUUAGAAACACAGGAAUAAAAAUUUGGAAUCUCUUCUGUUUGGAUCUCACAUGGUAGACCAAAUGCCAGAAGGAUAAAUUAAAUAUUACUUAGUAGGGGGCAAGGACAAUAUAGAUAAUUUGUUCUAGUAAAACAGUCUUUACUUCUCUUUCAUGAAGUGGGCAAAGAGAUGAG